rnacentral:rRNA from 1 species
GACGAACGCUGGCGGCGUGCUUAACACAUGCAAGUCGAACGGAAAGGCCCCUUUGGGGGUACUCGAGUGGCGAACGGGUGAGUAACACGUGAGUAACCUGCCCUUGACUUCGGGAUAACUUCAGGAAACUGGGGCUAAUACCGGAUAGGAAUCCUUGCUGCAUGGUGGGGGUUGGAAAGCUUCGGCGGUUUUGGAUGGACUCGCGGCUUAUCAGCUUGUUGGUGGGGUAGUGGCUUACCAAGGCUUUGACGGGUAGCCGGCCUGAGAGGGCGACCGGCCACAGUGGGACUGGGAUACGGCCCAGACUCCUACGGGAGGCAGCAGUGGGGAAUAUUGCACAAUGGGCGGAAGCCUGAUGCAGCAACGCCGCGUGCGGGAUGACGGCCUUCGGGUUGUAAACCGCUUUCAGCAGGGGCGAAGCUUGUGGUGACGGUACCUGCAGAAGAAGCACCGGCUAACUACGUG